rnacentral:rRNA from 1 species
GGGUUGUGAGGUUAAGCGACUAAGCGUACACGGUGGAUGCCCUGGCAGUCAGAGGCGAUGAAGGACGUGCUAAUCUGCGAUAAGCGCCGGUAAGGUGAUAUGAACCGUUAUAACCGGCGAUUUCCGAAUGGGGAAACCCAGUGUGAUUCGUCACACUAUCAUUAACUGAAUCCAUAGGUUAAUGAGGCGAACCGGGGGAACUGAAACAUCUAAGUACCCCGAGGAAAAGAAAUCAACCGAGAUUCCCCCAGUAGCGGCGAGCGAACGGGGAGGAGCCCAGAGCCUGAAUCAGCAUGUGUGUUAGUGGAAGCGUCUGGAAAGGCGCGCGAUACAGGGUGACAGCCCCGUACACAAAAGCGCAUGUGCUGUGAGCUCGAUGAGUAGGGCGGGACACGUGGUAUCCUGUCUGAAUAUGGGGGGACCAUCCUCCAAGGCUAAAUACUCCUGACUGACCGAUAGUGAACCAGUACCGUGAGGGAAAGGCGAAAAGAACCCCGGCGAGGGGAGUGAAAAAGAACCUGAAACCGUGUACGUACAAGCAGUGGGAGCACCCUUCGGGGUGUGACUGCGUACCUUUUGUAUAAUGGGUCAGCGACUUAUAUUCUGUAGCAAGGUUAACCGUAUAGGGGAGCCGGAGGGAAACCGAGUCUUAAUUGGGCGUUAAGUUGCAGGGUAUAGACCCGAAACCCGGUGAUCUAGCCAUGGGCAGGUUGAAGGUUGGGUAACACUAACUGGAGGACCGAACCGACUAAUGUUGAAAAAUUAGCGGAUGACCUGUGGCUGGGGGUGAAAGGCCAAUCAAACCGGGAGAUAGCUGGUUCUCCCCGAAAGCUAUUUAGGUAGCGCCUCGUGAAUUCAUCUCCGGGGGUAGAGCACUGUUUCGGCUAGGGGGCCAUCCCGGCUUACCAACCCGAUGCAAACUGCGAAUACCGGAGAAUGUUAUCACGGGAGACACACGGCGGGUGCUAACGUCCGUCGUGAAGAGGGAAACAACCCAGACCGCCAGCUAAGGUCCCAAAGUCAUGGUUAAGUGGGAAACGAUGUGGGAAGGCCCAGACAGCCAGGAUGUUGGCUUAGAAGCAGCCAUCAUUUAAAGAAAGCGUAAUAGCUCACUGGUCGAGUCGGCCUGCGCGGAAGAUGUAACGGGGCUAAACCAUGCACCGAAGCUGCGGCAGCGAACGUAUCACCCAAGACAACUUUACGGAGUUGACGAUUGACGGAGCGAAGCGACGUCAAAGCGUUCAUUAAAGUCGAGUUGGCUUAGGGAUACGUUCGUUGGGUAGGGGAGCGUUCUGUAAGCCUGUGAAGGUGUGUCGUGAGGCAUGCUGGAGGUAUCAGAAGUGCGAAUGCUGACAUAAGUAACGAUAAAGCGGGUGAAAAGCCCGCUCGCCGGAAGACCAAGGGUUCCUGUCCAACGUUAAUCGGGGCAGGGUGAGUCGACCCCUAAGGCGAGGCCGAAAGGCGUAGUCGAUGGGAAACGGGUUAAUAUUCCCGUACUUGGUGUUACUGCGAAGGGGGGACGGAGAAGGCUAUGUUGGCCGGGCGACGGUUGUCCCGGUUUAAGCGUGUAGGUGUGUGUUCCAGGUAAAUCCGGUUCACUUUAACACUGAGGCGUGACGACGAGGCACUACGGUGCUGAAGCAACAAAUGCCCUGCUUCCAGGAAAAGCCUCUAAGCAUCAGGUAACACGAAAUCGUACCCCAAACCGACACAGGUGGUCAGGUAGAGAAUACCAAGGCGCUUGAGAGAACUCGGGUGAAGGAACUAGGCAAAAUGGUGCCGUAACUUCGGGAGAAGGCACGCUGACACGUAGGUGAAGUGAUUUACUCAUGGAGCUGAAGUCAGUCGAAGAUACCAGCUGGCUGCAACUGUUUAUUAAAAACACAGCACUGUGCAAACACGAAAGUGGACGUAUACGGUGUGACGCCUGCCCGGUGCCGGAAGGUUAAUUGAUGGGGUCAGCGUAAGCGAAGCUCCUGAUCGAAGCCCCGGUAAACGGCGGCCGUAACUAUAACGGUCCUAAGGUAGCGAAAUUCCUUGUCGGGUAAGUUCCGACCUGCACGAAUGGCGUAAUGAUGGCCAGGCUGUCUCCACCCGAGACUCAGUGAAAUUGAACUCGCUGUGAAGAUGCAGUGUACCCGCGGCAAGACGGAAAGACCCCGUGAACCUUUACUAUAGCUUGACACUGAACAUUGAGCCUUGAUGUGUAGGAUAGGUGGGAGGCUUUGAAGUGUGGACGCCAGUCUGCAUGGAGCCGACCUUGAAAUACCACCCUUUAAUGUUUGAUGUUCUAACGUGGACCCGUAAUCCGGGUUGCGGACAGUGUCUGGUGGGUAGUUUGACUGGGGCGGUCUCCUCCUAAAGAGUAACGGAGGAGCACGAAGGUUGGCUAAUCCUGGUCGGACAUCAGGAGGUUAGUGCAAUGGCAUAAGCCAGCUUGACUGCGAGCGUGACGGCGCGAGCAGGUGCGAAAGCAGGUCAUAGUGAUCCGGUGGUUCUGAAUGGAAGGGCCAUCGCUCAACGGAUAAAAGGUACUCCGGGGAUAACAGGCUGAUACCGCCCAAGAGUUCAUAUCGACGGCGGUGUUUGGCACCUCGAUGUCGGCUCAUCACAUCCUGGGGCUGAAGUAGGUCCCAAGGGUAUGGCUGUUCGCCAUUUAAAGUGGUACGCGAGCUGGGUUUAGAACGUCGUGAGACAGUUCGGUCCCUAUCUGCCGUGGGCGCUGGAGAACUGAGGGGGGCUGCUCCUAGUACGAGAGGACCGGAGUGGACGCAUCACUGGUGUUCGGGUUGUCAUGCCAAUGGCACUGCCCGGUAGCUAAAUGCGGAAGAGAUAAGUGCUGAAAGCAUCUAAGCACGAAACUUGCCCCGAGAUGAGUUCUCCCUGAGACUUAGAGUCUCCUGAAGGAACGUU